GGACCUGGCCGUAAAACAUUCCUCUUGGACGACAUGCUGAACAAUCCAAGCUUGAUCUCUCGGUGGCCUCUGCACCUGUAUCGAUAUAGGCAGAAAGAGACUUCGAAAUAGAUUCGCUCCACUUUACUUUUUACCAGACAUUACGCCCUCUGUGCUGCAAAGGCAGACUCACGCAUCGCCUCGUUAUUUUCGGCUUACGCUACGGCCAAAAUGCGGCCGGUUGUAAUCUGUGAACGAUUAUACGUGCCUCACUGAAUGUGUCUACAAAAUGGCAGAAUCGGACUAACGGACAACCUUUAAUGGGCAUAAGAUGAACAAGGAAAAGAUGGCGGAUGCGGUUAUUAAUAUGUAUCGAUAAGAGGAUUUUCUUUUGUUGAUAGCGGAAGAUUAACUACGUUUCCCAAGAUCUUCGCCUUACGCACGGUAACUUCGUCGGAGCAAAAUAAAAGGCAUACUGAAUCUGUAAUUGGGAUCUGGAUUAUAAAAAAAAAAAGAAAGAAUACUUAAAAAAAAAGCGAUUGCUCGAGUAUAAGAAGAUAAUGCUUUAUGGUAAUUUGUAUUAAAUCAAAGUG